rnacentral:rRNA from 1 species
UUGGAGGGCAAGUCUGGUGCCAGCAGCCGCGGUAAUUCCAGCUCCAAUAGCGUAUAUUAAAGUUGUUGCAGUUAAAAAGCUCGUAGUUGAAUUUCGAGAUCAGUACGCUGGUCGUGCCUUCGGUAUGCACUGGUGUCACUGGUUUCUCCCUUCUGAAGAACCGUCAUGCCAUUCAGUUGGUGUGGCGGGGAAUCAGGACUGUUACUUUGAAAAAAUUAGAGUGUUUAAAGCAGGCUCGCGCUUGAAUACAUUAGCAUGGAAUAAUGAAAUAGGACGUUUGACCCUAUUUUGUUGGUUUCUAGGAUCGACGUAAUGAUUAAUAGGGAUAGUUGGGGGCAUUAGUAUUCAAUUGUCAGAGGUGAAAUUCUUGGAUUUAUUGAAGACUAACUACUGCGAAAGCAUUUGCCAAGGAUGUUUUCAUUAAUCAAGAACGAAAGUUAGGGGAUCGAAGACGAUCAGAUACCGUCGUAGUCUUAACCAUAAACUAUGCCGACUAGGGAUCGGAUGAUGCUAAUUUUUUAAUGACUCAUUCGGCGCCUUACGGGAAAC